CUCAUGCCGCUUUCACCUCCUCGCCUCCCAAGCUGCCGUCACCAUCUGCUCUCUUUCUUCUCCCCUCGGUUCUUUCUUCUCUAGCUGCUCACCCUCUCUGCCCUUCUUCCACACGAAACAAGUAGAGGGCAAGUCCUCCGAGCGAUCUCGAGCAGCUUCCAAGAACCGGACCUCCAGCUACCUAUCUCCACCUGCUUGCCAUCUCACGCAAAACAGCAAGCACGCUGGUUCCUUUUCCCAUCCACGGCAGAAGCAACUAGCAGCUCACCUCCUCUCCCCACUGAUCAGCAGCCCAAUUCUUCUCCUCCUCCAAUCGGCAACCACCAUCACCAACUGUCUCUCCGUGCCCAUCUCAAGCCAGUGCCACCAGUUCACAUGCUACGCCAGGCCAGAGAGCCAGUGCCACCUCCGCACUGGAAAGCUACUGCCUUCGGGGUCGUGGUGCCGUCUCGGGGUGGCCGGCGAGGAGCGCCACCACCACGGCAACAACGGCCUGCAUCUUCGACGCCAACCCUUCUGCGCCCUCGGCACCAAGCUGCUGCCCCUGCCUCUCUUGCACUGCGACAGGGCUGCCAUCCGCCCCGUCUACAACCUGUUCGAUGGAUUGCGCCAACAGCAGACUGAAAACUAAUGUUGCUGCGUUGGCCACGUCGUGCUCGAUGGUGAACUGCUGCUACCUCUCCGUCAAGCUGCAGCUAUGGAGCUAUCGAGUUCGAUCAGUUUUGCCCACCAUCAUUACUGUGUGGCUGUCAAUCGCAAUAUUCCGAGCAAGGACGACAGUCGCCUGCUGUAUCUUCCCCAGGCCCGUACAUCACCCAUGGCAAGUGGGCCGACUGCACCAGGCCUCCAAUUUUGGGGCCCCCAUGUGUCGACCUCCCUCUGGUAGUCUGGUGCCUGGUGGCCUCUGUAACUCUGUUCCUGCCUGCAUCUACAAUUCUGCAUGCGACCAGCGGACCACGCCUGCAUGCAACUUUUUGAUUUUUUGGCCUGAAGAAUCUGUUGCGUCAUUGACUCAUUGCGUGUUGCCGGACCAGGAGUCCAUAACCGUCCGAUAGACCGAUACUCCGAUUAGCAGGCCUGGCCUGCAGGCUGCCGUCUGCCGAUUAGGAUUCUAAAUCUAAUUGCCAGAUCGCGUGAGCACCGCUAGCCGCCGCAAUCUUGCCGAGUCGCCAUCUCGCCGAGCUGCGCGCGAACUGCGAUUCUACGAAGCUACCGCCGCAAUCAACCCUGCAUGCAGGCAGCGACUCCACCUCUGGGGCUCUGACGGCAGGUCUGACUUCUUCACAACAGAAGCUACCGCGUGAAGGCAUGAUCACGUGAUUCGCUGAGAAGGUGCAGGUGCGAAGCAACGAUCUUGCCGCUGCUCGACCCCUCCUCGAUCCACGGACCCGCCGUGCCCUGCUUGCCGCGUGCCGUGCAAGCGGACGCUCUCCUCGUCGCCGUCCAUCUCGCGCGCGUCUGGCUGAGCUCACCAUGCUCACAGCAAGUGAGGACCUCUGCAUGUUUGUCUCUUUCUUCUCUCUCUAGCUAGUCCGAUGCUACCUGCUUCCGAGAGCUGCAUGUGCCAUCUCGUGCAAGCAAGCAGUGCCAUGCGUACCUAUGUGCAUGCAGGCAAGCAAGGUUCAAUGCAUCGCGUACAAGCUAAAUACUUGUUCACGUCAUAGCUACGCAAUAAUAUAAUUAUGACUUUUCCUAUAACAAAAUGAUUAGGAUGUCUGUUGUAUAUUUCGUGCAUAAUCAAACAUCUGAAAUCUCUUCUGGUAUUCAUCAUUCUUGAUCCCUAGGAUAAUAAUUUGUUUCACUAUAUGCAAUCUUCCCUGAUGUCAUCAUCUUUUUCCCAUCAUCAUAGUUAUGCUCAUCUAUUUAUUUAAUUCCUUUCUCGAUUAUUGCUUCGUGGUGACAUCAUCCUUACGUCAUGUUCAAAUAGCUAUCCUUUUCUUCUUAAAGCCCAUAUUUUAUUCAAUUCAAUUAUGAUUUCAGCAAUUCUUGUCCUCACGUGAUCGUAGCAACGUGUAGAAUAAUUUAAAGUGCUUUACUAUUCCUCUUCCAUGAUUGGUGUACUGCUCUUAAUUGUAUUUGUUUGUUUGCUUCUAUGUUGUGCCGGUGAUUGCUUCGAGUAGAAGGAUCGCUGCUCGAA